CAGAGACGAUCUUUGUGCUGGGCAUGAAUAAAUGUAUAAAGAGAGUAUUACCUCUCAAGUCAAACUAAUGUGGCCGACAUGGCCAAGUUUCAAGGAAAGUUGCAGGUUGUGCAUUAAUUAGUGAAGUGAAAGUGCUUUAUAAUGUGGUCAAUGCCUCGCACAGCAGAGAUUUUGGUUUAAAUGAAGGAUGCCAAACAUUUAGUAGAGAUUCAUAAGUGUUCUAAGUUCUUCUACAAAAUCACUUUGUUUGCAGAAACUAAGUUAGUUGUGGUUAAAACAAUGUUGACUGGCACCUGGCACGGGCCACUGCCACAUUAAUCUACUUAAUCCGUAAUUCAGAUAACUGAAUAUUUAAGCUCUAGCACAGAAAAAGAAACGACUCUGAAUUCUAAUCGUUGAAUGAAUUUAUUUACUUGCCUUUACUUUUCUCCCUCACCUUUUUCGCAUUGAAGUUAACUGCAGUCAGUGGUCCUGUGGCCAACCACUUGAAUCUGUCCCACACAAACCGCUGGCAGCAUGAACCUCUUAUACCCCACACUCCCCCCUUUUCGCUUCUUGGUAAACUUGCUCAGUUUGUUGUGUGAUUUAAUCAAAGUUUGCAGUAGGAGCCAAAUCUUGCCCUAGCUAGCGAGUUGUGCAUUUGCCUGGCACGCCCGCACCCGGACUUGCAGUUGUGGCUGAAAAGGGAAAGGGAAUGAGAGUUUGUAGCUGUUGUGAAUUUAUUUUGCACUUUCUUCCGGCCGAAGUUGGCAGCUGCUGCUGGAUGGACUUGGUGUUGAAUGUCGGCUCUUGUUCUCGCCUGCAGGAUAUUUGCGUAGCUGUACCUGCAGUUAGCCGGAGGCCUCUUGUCCGCAUCUCGGCUUUUUUGUGUGUGUGUGUGUGUGCAACAGUGUCACACUUCAAUGCCUACAACCCACCACUCCCUUCAUCGGUGCCAUCUGCUGGGGAUGCCGCUUUAAGUGCCAGCAGGAGAGUAAAAUGCAAUAAACACCAUUAGCCAGAACGACUGCGCUCCAUGACCGAGUCCAGGACCAGGACGAAGGUCUUUCGUCUAUACCAAAGUGUAACAGAAGAAAGCCAGGUCAACAAUCCAGGUAGAAAGGGAGGCACAGGCACCGGCAAGACAACAAAAAGCAGCAACAAAAUGCGAAAGUAAAGCGAAAAUCAACUUAACUGAAUUGAAUGAAAAAGUUUUAAACUGCGGGUGCCAUAAACUCUGAAUGCGGUUCAGUUCAACCUCUUCCUGUCCAACAAUGAGAACAAACCAAAGCGGGGGGGGGGAGAUGGGAAUGCGAUGCAUUCAUGGGUGUAGCAAAGGAACUGGGGUCUGAAGACUUGGACUAAAUAACUUGUUUUCUGAUACCAAAGUUGAGCUAUUACUGAAGGUCCAUUGGUUAGCUGUCCUAGCACUCCUAGCAGUGUUACUCCUAGAAAGCC